rnacentral:rRNA from 1 species
GAGUUUGAUCAUGGCUCAGGAUGAACGCUAGCGGCAGGCUUAACACAUGCAAGUCGAGGGGUAUAGUAGCAAUACUAGAGACCGGCGCACGGGUGCGUAACGCGUAUGCAAUCUACCUUUUGCAGGGGAAUAGCCCAGAGAAAUUUGGAUUAAUGCCCCAUAGUACUACAACUUGGCAUCAAGAUGUAUUUAAAGUAACAACGGCAAAAGAUGAGCAUGCGUCCCAUUAGCUAGUUGGUAAGGUAACGGCUUACCAAGGCUACGAUGGGUAGGGGUCCUGAGAGGGAGAUCCCCCACACUGGUACUGAGACACGGACCAGACUCCUACGGGAGGCAGCAGUGAGGAAUAUUGGUCAAUGGGCGCAAGCCUGAACCAGCCAUGCCGCGUGCAGGAAGAAGCAUCUAUGGUGUGUAAACUGCUUUUAUACAGGAAGAAACACUCCCUCGUGAGGGAGCUUGACGGUACUGUAAGAAUAAGGACCGGCUAACUCCGUGCCAGCAGCCGCGGUAAUACGGAGGGUCCAAGCGUUAUCCGGAAUCAUUGGGUUUAAAGGGUCCGUAGGCGGUUUAAUA